UACAGAGGUCUCAAGCGUUUGUUCGGAUUCAUUGGGCGUAAAGGGUGCGUAGGUGGGUUGGUAAGUCAGUGGUGAAAUCUUCGAGCUUAACUCGGAAACUGCCAUUGAUACUAUCAAUCUUGAAUACUUUGGAGGUAAGCGGAAUAUGUCAUGUAGCGGUGAAAUGCUUAGAUAUGACAUAGAACACCAAUUGCGAAGGCAGCUUGCUUACACAGUUAUUGACACUUGAGGCACGAAAGCCGUGGGGGAAUCAAACAGGG
rnacentral:rRNA from 1 species